rnacentral:rRNA from 1 species
GACGAACGCUGGCGGCGUGCUUAACACAUGCAAGUCGAACGGAAAGGCCCUGCUUUUGUGGGGUGCUCGAGUGGCGAACGGGUGAGUAACACGUGAGUAACCUGCCCUUGACUUUGGGAUAACUUCAGGAAACUGGGGCUAAUACCGGAUAGGAGCUCCUGCUGCAUGGUGGGGGUUGGAAAGUUUCGGCGGUUGGGGAUGGACUCGCGGCUUAUCAGCUUGUUGGUGGGGUAGUGGCUUACCAAGGCUUUGACGGGUAGCAGGCCUGAGAGGGUGACCGGCCACAUUGGGACUGAGAUACGGCCCAGACUCCUACGGGAGGCAGCAGUGGGGAAUAUUGCACAAUGGGCGGAAGCCUGAUGCAGCAACGCCGCGUGCGGGAUGACGGCCUUCGGGUUGUAAACCGCUUUCGCCUGUGACGAAGCGUGAGUGACGGUAAUGGGUAAAGAAGCACCGGCUAACUACGUGCCAGCAGCCGCGGUGAUACGUAGGGUGCGAGCGUUGUCCGGAUUUAUUGGGCGUAAAGGGCUCGUAGGUGGUUGAUCGCGUCGGAAGUGUAAUCUUGGGGCUUAACCCUGAGCGUGCUUUCGAUACGGGUUGACUUGAGGAAGGUAGGGGAGAAUGGAAUUCCUGGUGGAGCGGUGGAAUGCGCAGAUAUCAGGAGGAACACCAGUGGCGAAGGCGGUUCUCUGGGCCUUUCCUGACGCUGAGGAGCGAAAGCGUGGGGAGCGAACAGGCUUAGAUACCCUGGUAGUCCAUGCUGUAAACGGUGGGUACUAGGUGUGGGGUCCAUUCCACGGGUUCCGUGCCGUAGCUAACGCUUUAAGUACCCCGCCUGGGGAGUACGGCCGCAAGGCUAAAACUCAAAGGAAUUGACGGGGCCCCGCACAAGCGGCGGAGCAUGCGGAUUAAUUCGAUGCAACGCGUAGAACCUUACCUGGGUUUGACAUGGAUCGGGAGUGCUCAGAGAUGGGUGUGCCUCUUUUGGGGUCGGUUCACAGGUGGUGCAUGGCUGUCGUCAGCUCGUGUCGUGAGAUGUUGGGUUAAGUCCCGCAACGAGCGCAACCCUUGUUCACUGUUGCCAGCACGUUAUGGUGGGGACUCAGUGGAGACCGCCGGGGUCAACUCGGAGGAAGGUGGGGAUGACGUCAAGUCAUCAUGCCCCUUAUGUCCAGGGCUUCACGCAUGCUACAAUGGCUGGUACAGAGAGUGGCGAGCCUGUGAGGGUGAGCGAAUCUCGGAAAGCCGGUCUCAGUUCGGAUUGGGGUCUGCAACUCGACCUCAUGAAGUCGGAGUCGCUAGUAAUCGCAGAUCAGCAACGCUGCGGUGAAUACGUUCCCGGGGCU